rnacentral:rRNA from 1 species
AAUGAACGUUGGCGGCAUGGAUUAGGCAUGCAAGUCGAGCGCGAAGAGUCAUUUGCUUGCAUUUGACUCUGAAAGCGGCGUAAGGGUGAGUAACGCGCAGUUACCUACCUCCGGGUCCGGAAUAGCUGCGGGAAACUGCAGGUAAUGCCGGAUAAUAUCUCAGGAUCAAAGGUGAGAUUCCGCCCGGAGAGGGGACUGCGUCCUACUAGCUUGUUGGUGGGGUAAUGGCCUACCAAGGCUUCGAUGGGUAGCGGGCGUGAGAGCGUGGCCCGUCACACUGGGACUGAGACACUGCCCAGACACCUACGGGUGGCUGCAGUCGAGAAUCUUCGGCAAUGGGCGAAAGCCUGACCGAGCAAUGCCGCGUGCGGGAUGAAGGCCCUCGGGUUGUAAACCGCGAAAGUAAGGAGGAAGGACCUGCGAAGAGCAGGUUUUGACCGAUCUACAGUAAGGACGGGCUAAGUUCGUGCCAGCCGCCGCAGUAA